rnacentral:piRNA from 1 species
UGACAAGUUUUAAUUCUACUGGCAUUGUGA